rnacentral:lncRNA from 1 species
AUGUGUCUAUACUCUGUAUCACUUCAUAUUUCACAAAAUUCAGAACCUGCACCUCCACCUGUACCUGUGAAGGAAAAAGAUAAACCAGAACCUGUAAAAGAAGAACCUAAGCCUGCAUCGGUAAAGGAAAAAGCUAAGCCAGAGCCUGCAUCGGUAAAGGUGCAAGCUAAGCCAGAGCCUGCAUCGGUAAAGGAAAAAGCUAAGCCAGAGCCUGCAUCGGUAAAGGAAAAAGCUAAGCCAGAGCCUGCAUCGGUAAAGGUGCAAGCUAAGCCAGAGCCUGCAUCGGUAAAGGAAAAAGCUAAGCCAGAGCCUGCAUCUGUAAAAGAAGAACCUAAGCCAGAGCCUGCAUCGGUAAAGGUGCAAGCUAAGCCAGAGCCUGCAUCGGUAAAGGUAAAAGCUAAGCCAGAGCCUGCAUCGGUAAAGGAAAAAGCUAAGCCAAAAUCUGAAAAAGAGAAACCUAAGCAAGAACCCAUUACGGAGAAGACUAAGCCAGAACCAGAAAAGCAGAAAGCCAAGCUAGAAUCCGUAAAGGAGAAGGCUAAACCAGAACCUACUACCGAUAAGGAAGAAGCUAUGGUAGAAUUCAAGGAGGAGAAACCUAGGCCAGAAUCUCCUAAGGACAAGGCCAAACCAAAGCCCAUUGCAGAGAAGGCAAAGCCAGAGCCCAAAAAGGAGAGAGCUAAGGAAGAACUUGUAAAAGAGAAGGCUACACCAGAACCUGUGAAGGAGAAAGCUGAGCCUAAGCCCAAAAAGGAAGAACUUAAGCUUGAACCUGGAAAGGAAACCGCUAAGAAAAUAACUGUAAAAGAAACUGCAAAGCCAGUGCCCACAAGGGAGGAGGUUAAGCCAGAACCAGUGAAGGAGAAAAUGAAGACCCUGAAAGAAAAGGCUAAGAAAGAAGCUCUGAAGGAGAAAACUGAGCCAGAACCAGCAGUAGAGAAGACUAAACCAGAACCUGCACCUGCAAAAGAAAAAGCUAAGCCAGUACCCAUGAAGGAGAAAGCUGAGGCAGAACCUGUGAAGGACAAAGCUAAAAAAGAACCUGCUAAAGAGAAGGUAAAGCCAGAAGCUGUUAAGGAAAAAGCUAAACCAGAAACCAUGAAGGAGAAAGCAAAGCCUGAGCCUGUAAAGGAAAAAGCCAAGCCAGAGCCUGCUAAGGAGAAAGUUAAGCCAGAGCUCCCUAAAGCGAAAGCUAGACCAGAACCAACUAAAGAAAAAGCUAAGCCUGUUCCUGUGAAGGAGGAAGACAAGGCUGCACCUUUGAAAGAAAAAGCUAAGCCUGUACCUGUGAAGGAGGAAGAUAAGGCUGCACCUUUGAAAGAAAAGGCUAAGCCUGUACCUGUGAAGGAGGAAGACAAGGCUGCACCUUUGAAAGAAAAAGCUAAGCCUGUACCUGUGAAGGAGGAAGACAAGGCUGCACCUUUGAAAGAAAAGGCUAAGCCUGUACCUGUGAAGGAGGAAGACAAGGCUGCACCUUUGAAAGAAAAGGCUAAGCCUGUACCUGUGAAGGAGGAAGACAAGGCUGCACCUUUGAAAGAAAAGGUUAAGCCUGUACCUGUGAAGGAGGAAGACAAGGCUGCACCUUUGAAAGAAAAGGCUAAGCCUGUACCUGUGAAGGAGAAUGCUAAGCUAGAACCCACCCCUGUGAAGGAGAAGGCUAAAGCAGAACCUGUGAAGGAGAAAGCUAGUCCAGAAUCUGUAAAAGAGAAGGCUAGGCCAGAACCUGCAAAGGAGAAGGCUAAAGCAGAACCCACCCCUGUAAGGAAGGCUAAGCCAGAACCUGCACCUGUAAAGGAUGAAGCUAAACCAGAACCUGCAAAGGAGAAGGCUAAAGCAGAACCCACCCCUGUAAAGAAGACUAAGCCAGAAGCUGUGAAGGAGAAGGCUAAAGCAGAACCUGCAAAGGAGAAGGCUAAAGCAGAACCCACCCCUGUAAGGAAGGCUAAGCCAGAACCUGCACCUGUAAAGGAUGAAGCUAAACCAGAACCUGCAAAGGAGAAGGCUAAAGCAGAACCCACCCCUGUAAAGAAGACUAAGCCAGAAGCUGUGAAGGAGAAGGCUAAAGCAGAACCUGCAAAGGAGAAGGCUAAAGCAGAACCCACCCCUGUAAGGAAGGCUAAGCCAGAACCUGCACCUGUAAAGGAUGAAGCUAAACCAGACCCUGCAAAGGAGAAGGCUAAAGCAGAACCCACCCCUGUAAAGAAGACUAAGCCAGAAGCUGUGAAGGAGAAGGCUAAAGCAGAACCUGUGAAGGAGAAGGCUAAAGCAGAACCUGCAAAGGAGAAGGCUAAAGCAGAACCCACCCCUGUAAAGAAGACUAAGCCAGACCCUGCAAAGGAGAAGGCUAAAGCAGAAGCUGUGAAGGAGAAGGCUAAAGCAGAACCUGCAAAGGAGAAGGCUAAAGCAGAACCCACCCCUGUAAGGAAGGCUAAGCCAGAACCUGCACCUGUAAAGGAUGAAGCUAAACCAGACCCUGCAAAGGAGAAGGCUAAAGCAGAACCCACCCCUGUAAAGAAGACUAAGCCAGAAGCUGUGAAGGAGAAGGCUAAAGCAGAACCUGUGAAGGAGAAGGCUAAAGCAGAACCUGCAAAGGAGAAGGCUAAAGCAGAACCCACCCCUGUAAAGAAGACUAAGCCAGACCCUGCAAAGGAGAAGGCUAAAGCAGAACCUGUGAAGGAGAAGGCUAAAGCAGAACCUGCAAAGGAGAAGGCUAAAGCAGAACCCACCCCUGUAAAGAAGACUAAGCCAGACCCUGCAAAGGAGAAGGCUAAAGCAGAACCCACCCCUAUAAGGAAGGCUAAGCCAGAACCUGCACCUGUAAAGGAUGAAGCUAAACCAGACCCUGCAAAGGAGAAGGCUAAAGCAGAACCUGUGAAGGAGAAGGCUAAAGCAGAACCUGUGAAGGAGAAGGCUAAAGCAGAACCUGUGAAGGAGAAGGCUAAAGCAGAACCCGUCCCUGUAAAGGAGAAAGCUAAACCAGAACCUGUGAAGGAGAAAGCUAAGCCAGAACCUGCAAAGGAGAAAGCUAAGCAAGAAGCUGUAAAGGAAAAAGCUAAGCAAGAAGCUGUAAAGGAGAAAGCUAAGCCAGAACCUGCAAAGGAGAAGGCUAAAGCAGAACCCACCCCUGUAAAGAAGACUAAGCCAGAAGCUGUAAAGAAGGGUAAGCCAGAAGCUGUAAAGGAGAAGGCUAAGCCAGAAGCUGUAAAGGAGAAAGCUAAGCCAGAACCUGUGAAGGAGAAGGCUAAAGCAGAACCUGUGAAGGAGAAGGCUAAGCCAGCCAAAGUGAAGGUAAAGAAAGGUAAGAUCUAA